GGAGGGGUCGCAUAGUGGCCUAGUGCGCUCGCUUGGAAAGCGAGUAAGGGUGCAAGCCCUUCGCGGGUUCGAAUCCCGCCUCCUCCGCCA
rnacentral:tRNA from 1 species